GACGAACCGUGCGAACGUUGUUCGGAAUCACUGGGGCUUAAAGGGCGCGUAGGCGGGAGACCGAGUCCGGGGUGAAAGCUUCCGGCUCAACCGGAAAAGAGCCUUGGAUACCGGUCUUCUCGAGGGAGGUAGGGGUCUGCGGAACUGCGGGUGGAGCGGUGAAAUGCGUUGAUAUCCGCAGGAACGCCGGUGGCGAAAGCGGCGGACUGGCCUCUUCUGACGCUGAGGCGCGAAAGCCAGGGGAGCGGAACGGG
rnacentral:rRNA from 1 species